rnacentral:rRNA from 1 species
CCUACGGGAGGCAGCAGUGGGGAAUAUUGCACAAUGGGCGAAAGCCUGAUGCAGCGACGCCGCGUGAGGGAUGACGGCCUUCGGGUUGUAAACCUCUUUCAGUAGGGAAGAAGCGAAAGUGACGGUACCUGCAGAAGAAGCACCGGCUAACUACGUGCCAGCAGCCGCGNUAAUACGUAGGGUGCGAGCGUUAUCCGGAAUUAUUGGGCGUAAAGNGCNCGUAGGCGGUUUGUNGNGUCUGUCGUGAAAGUCCGGGGCNUAACCCCGGAUCUGCGGUGGGUACGGGCAGAAUAGAGUGCAGUAGGGGAGACUGGAAUUCCUGGUGUAGCGGUGGAAUGCGCAGAUAUCAGGAGGAACGCCGAUGGCGAAGGCAGGUCUCUGGGCUGUAGCUGACGCUGAGGGGCGAAAGCAUGGGGAGCGAACAGGAUUAGAUACCCCGGUAGUC